UUGAAAGUUGUUUUCUUGUGUUGAGUCUCUCUCUUCCUCACAGAGAUUGGGCGGCUCCACCUGCACCUUCACCUUCACACCUGCACAAGAUUACUGCAAUCACCACCUGCAUUUAAGCCCUGCUGUGAGGCUACUCCUGCACCUGAUGUGUGCCUCCACGAGCCCCCGGUGCUACCACCCAAUCGCUGCCACUCUCUCUCCCUGGAUUCACUCACCUCAAGCCCUCACGUCUCCAGCCUUCACCUCUCCUCGGAUUCCCUCCUCACGCUUUGGACCCUGGAUCCCUUUCCCACACCCUUUUUUUCCCCUUCAAUAAAUUCACUUAGCUGCUU